rnacentral:rRNA from 1 species
UAUGUGAUCGUCUCUCGCAUAUCAAUAAGCGGAGGAAAAGAAACUAACAAGGAUUCCCCUAGUAACGGCGAGUGAAGCGGGAAGAGCUCAAAUUUGAAAUCUUAAAGGGUUUCCCUUUACGAAUUGUAGUUUAAAGAAGUGUUUUCUGUUGAGGUUUUGGUAAAAGUUCUUUGGAAUAGGACAUCAUAGAGGGUGAGAAUCCCGUAUUUGACCUUUACUUUCAACUUUGUGAUACACUUUCAAAGAGUCGGAUUGUUUGGGAAUGCAGUCCAAAAUGGGCUGGUAAAUUUCAUCUAAAGCUAAAUAUUGGCGAGAGACCGAUAGCGAACAAGUACCGUGAGGGAAAGAUGAAAAGAACUUUGAAAAGAGAGUUAAACAGUACGUGAAAUUGUCAAAAGGGAAGCGUUUGACACCAGUGUUGUUUUUCUGAAAAUCAAUUAAAGAACUGUUUAUGCUAAGUUGUUUAGACUUUAUCAGCUAACUGUUUAGUUUUGAGCUUUUCUUUAAUGCACUUUUCAGUUAACAAGUCAACAUCAAUUUCUUUUGCUGUAAAAAAGCUUGAGGAAGGUGGCUUGAGAUUCGUCUUAAGUGUUUAUAGCCUCUUGCCUAUGCAGUCGGAGAGAUUGAGGUCUGCAGCGUAGAUCCUUCGGGGCUAAAUGCAUUUGUGCUAAGUUAUAGCAUUUCAUAGACAACUUGUUGACUAUGAUUUGUCUCGUAGCUUACUCGCUUAUGUUAUUUUACCUACGCUUAGGAUGUUGAUCUACAGAGCGAGAG